AUACGGAGGGUGCGAGCGUUAAUCGGAAUUACUGGGCGUAAAGGGUGCGUAGGCGGCUUGAUAAGUCGGAUGUGAAAGCCCCGGGCUUAACCUGGGAAUUGCAUUCGAUACUGUCAGGCUAGAGUAUGUCAGAGGUUGGCGGAAUCUCUGGUGUAGCGGUGAAAUGCGUAGAUAUCAGGAGGAACACCAGUGGCGAAGGCGGCUAACUGGGACAAUACUGACGCUGAGGCACGAAAGCGUGGGGAGCAAACAGGAUUAGAAACCCCAGUAGUCC
rnacentral:rRNA from 1 species